UACAGAGGGGGCAAGCGUUGUUCGGAUUUACUGGGCGUAAAGGGCCCGUAGGCGGCCUGUUAAGUCAGACGGGAAAUCCCUCGGCUCAACCGGGGAACUGCGUCUGAUACUGGCGGGCUUGAAUUCGGGAGAGGGAUGUGGAAUUCCAGGUGUAGCGGUGAAAUGCGUAGAUAUCUGGAGGAACACCGGUGGCGAAGGCGGCAUCCUGGACCGACAUUGACGCUGAGGCGCGAAAGCCAGGGGAGCAAACGGG
rnacentral:rRNA from 1 species